rnacentral:rRNA from 1 species
AGCGUCUGGAAAGGCGCGCGAUACAGGGUGACAGCCCCGUACACAAAAAUGCACAUGCUGUGAGCUCGAUGAGUAGGGCGGGACACGUGGUAUCCUGUCUGAAUAUGGGGGGACCAUCCUCCAAGGCUAAAUACUCCUGACUGACCGAUAGUGAACCAGUACCGUGAGGGAAAGGCGAAAAGAACCCCGGCGAGGGGAGUGAAAAAGAACCUGAAACCGUGUACGUACAAGCAGUGGGAGCCUCUUUAUGGGGUGACUGCGUACCUUUUGUAUAAUGGGUCAGCGACUUAUAUUCUGUAGCAAGGUUAACCGAAUAGGGGAGCCGAAGGGAAACCGAGUCUUAACUGGGCGUUAAGUUGCAGGGUAUAGACCCGAAACCCGGUGAUCUAGCCAUGGGCAGGUUGAAGGUUGGGUAACACUAACUGGAGGACCGAACCGACUAAUGUUGAAAAAUUAGCGGAUGACUUGUGGCUGGGGGUGAAAGGCCAAUCAAACCGGGAGAUAGCUGGUUCUCCCCGAAAGCUAUUUAGGUAGCGCCUCGUGAAUUCAUCUCCGGGGGUAGAGCACUGUUUCGGCAAGGGGGUCAUCCCGACUUACCAACCCGAUGCAAACUGCGAAUACCGGAGAAUGUUAUCACGGGAGACACACGGCGGGUGCUAACGUCCGUCGUGAAGAGGGAAACAACCCAGACCGCCAGCUAAGGUCCCAAAGUCAUGGUUAAGUGGGAAACGAUGUGGGAAGGCCCAGACAGCCAGGAUGUUGGCUUAGAAGCAGCCAUCAUUUAAAGAAAGCGUAAUAGCUCACUGGUCGAGUCGGCCUGCGCGGAAGAUGUAACGGGGCUAAACCAUGCACCGAAGCUGCGGCAGCGACGCUUAUGCGUUGUUGGGUAGGGGAGCGUUCUGUAAGCCUGUGAAGGUGUGCUGUGAGGCAUGCUGGAGGUAUCAGAAGUGCGAAUGCUGACAUAAGUAACGAUAAAGCGGGUGAAAAGCCCGCUCGCCGGAAGACCAAGGGUUCCUGUCCAACGUUAAUCGGGGCAGGGUGAGUCGACCCCUAAGGCGAGGCCGAAAGGCGUAGUCGAUGGGAAACAGGUUAAUAUUCCUGUACUUGGUGUUACUGCGAAGGGGGGACGGAGAAGGCUAUGUUGGCCGGGCGACGGUUGUCCCGGUUUAAGCGUGUAGGCUGGUUUUCCAGGCAAAUCCGGAAAAUCAAGGCUGAGGCGUGAUGACGAGGCACUACGGUGCUGAAGCAACAAAUGCCCUGCUUCCAGGAAAAGCCUCUAAGCAUCAGGUAACAUCAAAUCGUACCCCAAACCGACACAGGUGGUCAGGUAGAGAAUACCAAGGCGCUUGAGAGAACUCGGGUGAAGGAACUAGGCAAAAUGGUGCCGUAACUUCGGGAGAAGG